CACGGGGGUUGCGAGCGUUGUCCGGAAUUACUAGGCGUAAAGGGCAGGCAGGCGGAUCCAUAAGUUUAUCGUUUAAGGCGUCGGCUUAACCGGCGUAGGGCGGUAGAUACUGUGGAUCUGGAAUGCGGUUGGGGAAGACAGAAUUCCUGGUGUAGCGGUGGAAUGCGCAGAGAUCAGGAGGAAUACCGAAGGCGAAGGCAGUCUUCCAAGCCGUUAUUGACGCUCAACUGCGAAGGUGCGGGUAUCAAACAGGAUUAGAUACCCUGGUAGUCCCUGA
rnacentral:rRNA from 1 species